rnacentral:rRNA from 1 species
GACGAACGCUGGCGGCGUGCUUAACACAUGCAAGUCGAACGGAAAGGCCCUGCUUUUGUGGGGUGCUCGAGUGGCGAACGGGUGAGUAACACGUGAGUAACCUGCCCUUGACUUUGGGAUAACUUCAGGAAACUGGGUCUAAUACCGGAUAUGAGCUCCUGCUGCAUGGUGGGGGUUGGAAAGUUUCGGCGGUUGGGGAUGGACUCGCGGCUUAUCAGCUUGUUGGUGGGGUAGUGGCUUACCAAGGCUUUGACGGGUAGCCGGCCUGAGAGGGUGACCGGCCACAUUGGGACUGAGAUACGGCCCAGACUCCUACGGGAGGCAGCAGUGGGGAAUAUUGCACAAUGGGCGGAAGCCUGAUGCAGCAACGCCGCGUGCGGGAUGACGGCCUUCGGGUUGUAAACCGCUUUCGCCUGUGACGAAGCGUGAGUGACGGUAAUGGGUAAAGAAGCACCGGCUAACUACGUG